UGACCAGACCAUGAAUUAUUCAACUAGCUAGGCCAAUGUAUGAUUGAGAUGUAAUUUGGUUUAAUGUGUACGUCGACACUCUGUACCACAAGUUGAUUGAUAUAAUUGAUUGCAUUGUAUGUAUGCACUGCAAAUACACUAAAUAGCACACACCAGCUAACCACCUACUCACAAGUAUUUAAUUUUGAGUGUUAUUGCAAACAAUGAACUGAUGUCUUUUCUAAAUAUAUUAUUAAACCAAAGUUUUCAUCCUAACUUUGCCCCUUUUUUCUCUUGUCAUAUUGGAAUCAUGGGAGUUCAUAAAUCUAGAUUUCUAAUUAUUAUGUUCCUUCUUUUUAUACUAGUAAUACUGCUCCAUCUUUCAAGCUGCAGGCACAUUUCCUGGGGGGAUAAGGAAAAGAUCAUGGAACAAAGAACAAGAACCAGCAUCCCCUUUUCUUCAUUCCCACAUAGUUAUAAUUCUGCUGAAAUCAAAGACAACAAGGUCAGUGGAUUUCAUACUGUUUCACAUACAGCUACUCCAGGUGGACCAAACCCACUUCAUAACUGAGUGAAAUAAAAUAGCUAUCAUCAUCAUCAGAAGUCUCUCUAGUCAUAGCAGAUCCGGUAUAAUUAACUAGAAAGGGUAGCAAUUUCUUUGAAGCAAGACAUAGUUUAAUUUCAUGUUCCUUAAUUACCUUUGCAGAAUCCAAAAUGGUGCUUUAGUUAGUUUGCAUCAUAAAGGUAUAUAUGUCAUUUCCUUUGAUAUAUAUAUAUAUAUUUGUACUUAUGAGGAUCAUCUGACAUCUGGCAUAGUAUGGUGAAGGAUAAGGAAACUUGUAAUAAUGUAAUUGUCCAUAAUCUAUGUUGAUUAUCUCACUAGCAAUAACGUUCUUGUUAAUAUGUUCAUUUUUCAUCUGUAUCUUGUCAAAUCCUUACUGCAGAAGAUCCAAACUAGUAAAACUGGGUGUUUAGUUACGCAUCAGUAAGCUUUAGAGGCGCAUACAUAUAUACCUUGAAAGCUCCGUGAAGUAGCUUUUGCGUCUUUUUGAAUAUUUGAUGCGAC
rnacentral:lncRNA from 1 species